rnacentral:sRNA from 1 species
CUUCGAAGUCAGGUUGCUGGGUUGCAAGCUGUGAGGCCUUUCACACUUCUCUGUGCCUGUUUCCUCGUCUGCAGAAUGGUAAUGAUAGUAGCAACUUCAGUUGUUGAGAAUUAAAUGAGAUGGUGUCUGUCAAGUGCCCACACUGGAGCCUGGCACAUGGCGUCAGUACCGCUCCUGUUGUCUCUCCUAGAGCCCAGCUGCAGGGGUAAGGGCCUUGGCACUGAGGCCGUUCUCGCGAUGCUGUCUUACGGUAAGAAAGUGUAAGCAGACAAUGCGGGAAGUGGCCAGGCCCCGGGUGAACCUUGUUCAGGUCUGAGGGUUGGGGGCAGGUGAAGGUUCCUCCUCUGCAGCUUGGGACAGGAGGGGUGGGGGUAGGCGCCUCCUUACUUGCCCCGUCUCAUCUCUGCGAGGAGUGACCACGCUAGGUCUGACCAAGUUUGAGGCUAAAAUUGGGCAAGGAAAUGAACCAAGCAUGCGGAUGUUCCAGAAACUUCACUUUGAGCAGGUGGCUGUGAGCAGUGUUUUUCAGGAGGUGACCCUCAGACUGACAGUGAGUGAGUCCGAGCAUCAGUGGCUUUUGGAGCAGACCAGCCACGUGGAAGAGAAGCCUUACAGAGAUAGGUCGGCAGAGCCCCGCUGAUGGCUGGGCCUUGUGGGCAACCACUCUGUGUGAGCAGGGUGUUGGGCUCACACACUCCAAAGACCAGAGCCCUGCACUGGGAGAGUGCUCCUGGCCCAGCCCCAG